UGCAGAUCCUCCAUUGUGACAUCACAUCUCGAUUGCUAUGCAGAGGUCUCGAUUAUAAUUUAAGUCUCACAUGCAGCCUCAAAACAGCCUUAUUUGUGGAAAACAAACCCAAGCAAUGGUGUAUCUUCUUCCUUUUCCAAGACUGGGCAAAGAAUGUUUCAAGAGGAUAGCUGCUGCCCACACAAUUUUUUUAAGUACUGAGAUCAGGAUUGAAGCCCCAUAAUUUAAGCAGCUGCAGCUGAUGCACUCUGCAAGAUGGCAAGUAAGUAAAUCUCAAAUCCAGGGAGCUUUGGAAAGGUGGAGAAUGUCAAAAAUCCCUGCUUAAAUAAAAAUUAUGAUAAUACUUUCAUGAGGAAGAAUAAUUGGUGAAAUGACAAGGAGACAUUGAAAGAGCCAUAGCAUCUGGCAGAUAGAGCCAGGAGGAGAGGGGAGAAGAUUCCCUGCCAUGGAAAGGUGUGGAAAUUUCAGUCAUUCACCAAUACUCAAUUGAGCUGCUGAGACAGUCACCCUGGAGGAGACAGUGCUAUGCCUUUACCUCGGCCCCUCAGCUCAAGGGUGAGCCUACGCUUCCAAUCUUGUCCCCCAUCUCUUGGACCCUGCAUCUAACACCAUGCACACCCAGCAAACACCCAUGCCCCAGCCACUGGUGGUGGCUUACCUCCCCCAUCACAAGUCUUUGGGGACAGCGAGAUGGCCAGCUGUUGGUCCUGAGCCAGUGCUGCUUUUGGCUUUCUGAGCAUGCAGGGGCACAAUCUCCACUUUUUAAUGGGGGAGAGCAGGAUGGAAGCUGGGAAGAGCCUGAACAGCAUCUGUUUUGGAAAUCUGCUUUAAAUGUGUAGGAAAUUUCCUUUACAUCCUUUAUAAGACAAUAGAAGCUACUCCUGGAUUCAGGUACAACACCUAGACCUUGUUGCAAAGGGAUACAAGUGCAGGCCAACUCCUGCAGUGCUUCAGGCUAGACCUUAUUGCAGAAAAUCUGAUGAGUUUUAAGUUUUGAUCAGAAUUUGCAAAUAUGUGGCAAAAAAAGCCUUCUACAGGAUUAGUUUAAUCUCACCCAACUUUCAACAGACCCCAGGCUGCUCUCCAUUGGCCAAGAGACUCAAUUACUUUUCCCCAAGUAAUUUCAUGAAAGCACAACACUGGCUCCAGUUCUGCUGAGCCAGCCAGAUCCUGCAAGGCAGCUUCCUGGCUGUGAAGUGCAGCAGCCCAUAGCAGCAUCUCCAAGAGAGCCUGAAGGAUGCUGCCAGGGGUCACCCACAGGUGUCGGGAACAGACACCCCUGCGUAGGCAAGGCAGAGGUUACCUGCACUGAAUAUGCAGAGCAGAGUCUACCAUUCAAGCAGCCUUGGAUGACUGCAAGUUUUCAAGCUUUAAGAAAAAAAUCACCAAUUAUUGUAAGAGCCAGUGUCAUUGCACUUGUAAGGAAAUACAGAAGAAUCUCCUAAAAACUGUUAACCUCCAGGAUUGCUCAGCAAUUUCAUAAUUUUAAGAAAGUGGCUGUAAUGCAUUUCUCUACAUCUACAAGGAUGAAUUAAUCAAGCAGACAGUAGCUCUCAGCAGAGUAACAUAAACACUUUUUUGCUUCAGUGCAGAAGUCCAGUUUUGAUUCAUGGAGUCACAUCAAGCCAUUGCAAAAGAGAAACCUGCCUCUUGCUGUUGCUCAUAUUUGGAGCUUAUCCAGUUCUUCACAGCCUGGCAUGCAGAGUGGUUUUAUCUCCCUCCUGUCCAUCCUCCCUAGAGUUAGGUUCUGCUUUGAAAGACAGGGGUGUAAUUUUACUUGAGGCUUUCUUAGGAAAGGAAAGAAAUGCCCAUCACCACUGAGGAGCUAGAGAGCAUGGGGCCCUCCUACACCUUGGCAAAUGCAGCCCUGAAGGGUGUCUGCCAGACAGGUCCAUUGCUUAGAGACAAGCCAAACUUGUUUGGAAGUCCAGUGCUAGGACCACUGGGUGCAACCUGCAGGGUGCAACCCACAACCAGUCCAUUUUCA